UUGUGUAAGCAGCAUGUACAUUUGUAGUCUUUAAAAUGCUGAUAUCCAAAACCCCAGUACAGCAUGGAUGUAAUGUGUACUAAAUUACUCUACUAUCUCAGUGCUCAAUGUGCAUACAAUUCUGCCAUACUAUAAUUUUGCCUCGGGACAGGCUUAGCAAAGGCUUCCUGCACUGGCCAUAGGAAUAUCCACUAUUUCUCAGAAUGCAGGAAGAAAACAUGACGUUUCUUUUUGGAGGGAGGGCAAGCCGGUGAUUGGGAUGCAGGCGGCACUGUAUCAUGUACAGGAGGAACAACAUGAGCAAUGAAUGCCUCUUCCCCCUUGUCACUGACAGUGUCCAGCCAGUUUUACAGGGAUGCUUCUCAGCACUUACUACUGAAGCCUGCACUUUGACAGCACAGUAAACCUGAGAAUGUGGGCUAUCCUGUCAGGAGGGAUGAUUGGCGAUAAGAAGCAGAGUGAGUCAUGAGGAAUGUAGAUGAAUUUGUUUGGGUUUCCCUUUUCAUCCGGAUUUGGAUUUCAUCCUGCACAAUGACAGCACAGCUGAAUGCAUGUGAUGACACACAACUGUGAUUCAUGCAGCAGACCAGCAAAGCCAAUAACUAGGCAGCAAUGUGACCUUUAUCAGAGGAGCAUACCUUGCCUUUCCAGGAAGAUGGACUGAACAGUUACGCUGGUCUUUUCCCUCCAAAACCGCCAUGAUUUCCGAUCUUCACUGUGGGUUUGCCUUGACUAGAAUGAAAAGCUGGUUUUUGGACUGUGCUUGCUGACGUUUAAAAAAAACAACCCAAACCCACCUUUUAUCUUAGUCAGGACCAAUCCUGUGAGAGAAGCAUCAGGCACCACAAUCAUAUAAACCACAGAAGACAGACAGAAGGUUUGGGGGAGAGUCAUUUUAUGCAUGAUGUUAAUCAUGAAAAAAAUUUAAAGUCCUUGAAUCUACUCCAAUGGUUGCAAUUGAAAACACUUAUCUUCUAUCAGGGCAGCUCUCGGAGCGCUCAGAGUGCACUGUCACUGCACGUGAGCGGAAACAGGUGAACUGAAGCUGAAUGUAUUAAGUCCCAUCUGAAUAAAAGAAAUUAACUAGCUAAUAAUUCCCAGUGGUAAAAGCAGAAGGGCUAAUGUGCAUAUGAUGAAUGAAAAGGCAUCCUUCCCUCUACAUUGCAAAAGACUUCAGAAAUCAUGAGGGGGCUUUACUGUCCUCAAAUGAUCACUUCACUUAACUCUUGAGAUAAGGUUUAGUAUAUCAUUAUUGGAAAUGUAUAUUAAUAUAUAAUUUUACUUAGCCAGUACAUAGUGCUUUACGAAGCACAUUGCAAAAAAUGAAUUGUUCCUUAUGAUUUCCCCUGUGAAGAAGGCACCGAGCAUUCGACCUUAUUUACAGAAAGGAAAAUGAAGGGCGAGAGGUUAAAGUGACCUGACCGAGCCUACAGAGAGAGAUAGUGUCCAAGUACAGAUUAAAACUCAGCAGUUUUGGACUCAGUAGUUGAUGCUCAUUUGAGGGCCUGAUCCUGUAAAACGCUGAGUACCGCUGUUUUACCUCAAUGGCUGCUGUACACUCCCAGGAUAAUAUCUUUCAGGCCAGAUUUUCAAAAGUGCUCAGCAUUUUGAAUCCUUUGAAAAUGUGGCUGUUUAUUUAGGUGCCUAAAUGGGAGCUGAGCUCUUCUGAAAACUGUGAUCCAGUUAUAGAUGCUGAACAUGAAAAUCUGGCCCUGAACUCUUGAAAAUGUGGCAGUUCAUGUAUAUUUUUACUACAUAUAGAAUGUGUCCAUAAUACCCUUUUAAUCAACUCCUAUCUCCCAAACCAUGGUACACAUUUCAAGUAAUUAUAUACCUUUAAACAAUGUGACUCUCUCAUAGAAAAUAACCAAUAUUUUGUGGAACAAAAUCGUCCUACACUUGAGAAAACAUUGGGAUUUUUCUGGAAAAUUUUUGAGGAAAUCAAGAUUUUUUUUAAGAUCAGAUAUUCUAUCUUGUUUUGUGAGAAAUAAAAAUCUCAGCAACUACCUUGGGACUGAAUCUCUCCAUGACAUAGUUUUUACGUUUGCUUUUUCUUACUACUGCUACAAAGCACUCCUUUUGAGCUCAGUGCUCUGCUCUACUCUGCUGCUCUCUGCGUCUAAUGCUUUGCCCUCUGCUUUUAGUCGAUCUCUCUUUGUCUGUUUCCAGGCCUGGUCUCUCACUCUGAGUUUCCAUUAUUUAGUUGUUUUUCCUCUUGCUCUGCCACCUGAGUUCUGCCUCUUGCUCUCAUUCAUUUUUCUUCAAAGCCUCCAUUUUUCUGUUUCCCGGCCUUUCCUAUUGGAUCCAAUCCUCUAGCUCCAUUAAAAGGUUCCAGCCCCAAGUCUGAGCCAUGCCUCUCAGGAUUCUCAGAUUGCCUGGGGCCAGUUUGGCUCCUGGCAUACACUAUAUAUGCCCCAGCAGCGAUUCUAACUUACUACCAGGCUUUUGCUGUCCUCAAGGGACUAUCUGGACGCCCAAAAUAUCUAAAACACAGUUCAUUCAAGCCAUACCCUCUGCCUUUCC